rnacentral:lncRNA from 1 species
AGAAGCAGAGGGAAUGAACAUUUAAUGACUUUGCUGAGGCCAGACACUAGUAUGUCUACGCUCUCUUUAAAUCCUCACCCCAGCGACAUCUGAUUUCCCUUCAUUUUACAGAUUAGAGGACUUUGAGAGGUUAGUGACUUGCUCAAGGUCGGCUAGGAAGCAAGACCCAGGAUUCCAACUCAGGUCUGUGUGAUUCCUCUGCAAAAUGGAGAGGUGGAAGGAUGGAUGUCAGGUCUGAUGGAUGGAUGGAUGCCUACAUCAAGAUACAUGCAUAGAUGGAGAGAUGGCUGGCUACCUCACGAAUGCUGGUAAGAAUCAUUAUCCACAUUUUACCAGUAACUGAACAGGUGCUCAGAGAGGCCUGUGUGCUUGUCUUUGGAGAAGAAUGCAUCAGUGAAACAGAAACAGAAAUACUAAUCUAAAACUAGAAGUUCUAGUGAUAGAAGUAAGAGUUCUACACAGCAAAUGGGCAUGAUCCAUCUAAAGAAAGAUGAAGCCCUAAGAGAGGACUGUUGUGAGAAUCAAACGAGAUAAUGUAUGCUGAGG